rnacentral:rRNA from 1 species
UUGAACGCUGGCGGCAUGCUUUACACAUGCAAGUCGAACGGCAGCGGGGGCUUCGGCCUGCCGGCGAGUGGCGAACGGGUGAGUAAUGCAUCGGAACGUGCCCAGUCAUGGGGGAUAACUACGCGAAAGCGUAGCUAAUACCGCAUACGCCCUGAGGGGGAAAGCGGGGGAUCGCAAGACCUCGCGUGAUUGGAGCGGCCGAUGUCGGAUUAGCUAGUUGGUGGGGUAAAGGCCUACCAAGGCGACGAUCCGUAGCGGGUCUGAGAGGACGGCCCGCCACACUGGGACUGAGACACGGCCCAGACUCCUACGGGAGGCAGCAGUGGGGAAUUUUGGACAAUGGGCGCAAGCCUGAUCCAGCCAUUCCGCGUGAGUGAAGAAGGCCUUCGGGUUGUAAAGCUCUUUCGGCCGGGAAGAAAUCGCAUCUCCUAAUAUGGGGUGUGGAUGACGGUACCGGAAGAAGAAGCACCGGCUAACUACGU